UUCUGAUGUCGAUUAAGUUGUGAGUAAAGAAGAAAGUUCUUCCCACAUUCUUGACAUUCAUAGGGUUUCUCACCAGUAUGAAAUCUCUGAUGCAGAGUAAGUUGAUAGCUAUGACUAAAAACUUUCCCACAUUUCUCACAUUUACAGGAUUUUUCACCAGUAUGAAUUUUCUGAUGGAGAGUAAGCUGGCAGACCUUAUUCAAGGCCUUUUCUCCAAAGGCCUGAGGCCUCUGAGAGGAACUACCUGCACAGCAUGCAAAGCCUAUGUAUGCUCCCUCACCAGCUGGCCGCGACUGGCAAUGAGGGCUUCCAUCUGCCUGAUGAACUCUCAACUCACCUGGGUACUGUCUUCCUGUCACAUCCCUCACCGCCACGCAGGGCUCUUUCCCUUGCUCCAAUAAGGUAAUCACAUCUGGCUUUGAGCCAGAAUAUCCUGCUUCCAAGAAAGAAAUACAAGAAUAUAUAGAAGUAAAACAUUGCACAUUCAGAAACAUUUUGAGACUUGGUUAAAUUCAUAUGGAUCAAUGUGAUUUCGAUAAAGACUUCAGAAAAAACUGACAGGAUUAAAGAAUAUUCAACUUAGUGUAACCUCAGGAUCCCAGAGAAUAAAGAAACUUGAUGGGCAGGGGAAUUAAAAUUCAUCCAGGAGAAUUUUAAUUCAUUUUAGAAUUAAAACUCAUACAGACUGGGUCUAUUGAGAGGCAGUAGUUAUUGAGGGCACAGACUCUGAAGCCAGACUACGUGGGUCCAAAUUCUACUCUGCUACCUAUUGACUAAUGAUUGUAAACAAACUGGUUAAAUUCUUUGGGCCUCAGUUUUUUCAUCUGUAAAAUGAAAAUAAAAGUAGUACCUUUUAUUUUCUUUUUUUCUUUUGUAUCUCAUAGCUAAUACUUAGAAUGGUGCCUGGUAUUCAGUAAGCACUCUAUUAGCUAUUAUUAUUUUUGUUGUUGUUAAUUUACUUAGAGCAAAACAAGAAGCUUCCUAAGAUAUUUCUAGGUUCUUGCUAAGAUAUUCAUUUAAAGUUAGAUGCUAAGUUAGUAAAUUUUAUUUUACUCUAACUAAUUUCAACUUUUAUUUUAGAUACAGGGCCAAAUGUGCAGGUUUGUUACCUGGGGAUAUUGUGUGAUGCUGAGGUUUGAGGUACAUUUGAUCCCACCACCCAGGUACUGAGCAUAAUGUCCAAUAGGUAAAACUUCCAGUCACAAAUCAGUAAGAGAAAAUGUUUGUUUUAGGAAGUAGAAUGCAUUCACUUUAAGUCAAUUUUAUUGGUCUGAACCAUGGCAUGUAAAUUGUAGACCCUGGGUGGGGCUGUUAUCCUCGCAGGCAUGUUACUAAAUAACAGAGCAUCCAUAGCAAUUCUGAACUCAAAUGCAAUGUGAAACCUGAUUUCAUUGACAUUGGCUUUGGAGUAAAUGCCCCAAAAUUCAAAUCCAGUCUCUUAACUAUUAAGGGAGAAGCAACUACAGGAAUGGAUUAAGGAACAUUUCAUGAGGCUCAGUGAGGUAUGGUGAAAAUGAAAGCAUUUAGUGCAAGUGCCAUUCACAAACCAUCAAAGUUCAGUCCAGUCCUUGAGGAAGAGAGAAGAAAUUCAGCUAGUUUCUUAAUAAUGACUCCUAAAUUUGUGGAAGAGAAAGCUACUAUUUCAGAAAACGGAGUCUACAUUAUUUGACAUAGGUGACCUUACCCAGUGAGACCAAGUUACUAUAAUUCUCCAACAUCACAUCUCUGUACAAUUUCCUCUGAGUAGUGUCCAGGCACUCCCAUUCCUUCUGAGAGAAGUCUAUAGCCACAUCCCUGAACGUCACCAAUGCCUGAAACCAUAAACCAACAUAUUACUGGUGAAAUUACACAACAAGUCUUUUAAAAAGAAGCAAAGGAGAUAAAAGGUUUCAUUGCAGCAGGGGGUACCAUACUAAACUCUAGGCUGGGGCUGAAAGCUUAUGAUAAAGAGAGAAGAAAGGAACCAGGUGUUCUAAAGCAGAGUCACCUCAUUUUCUUGAAGAAUCCAGCCAAUGUAUACAAAAUUUCCUGUAUAUUACGGGGUUCUUUACUCAAAACAUUCCUGGGAACAAAUAAAUGUUUCCCAAUUCAAUUAAACAGUGGAUACAAGCAAAUAAACUAUAUUUCUACCUCAAAAA